rnacentral:tRNA from 1 species
AGGACGGUGGUCUAGCGGUCAGAACACUAGCCUUGUAAGCCUGGGGUCCCGGGUUCAAUUCCCGGUGGUGCUC